rnacentral:rRNA from 1 species
ACGAUGAACGCUGGCGGCGUGCUCGAUUAUGCAAGUCGAACGAUGAAGGGAGCUUGCUCCUGGAUUAGUGGCGAACGGGUGAGUAACACGUGAGUAACCUGCCCUUACGAGCCUGGGAAACUGGGUCUAAUACCGGAUAUGACUCCUCAUCGCAUGGUGAGCCGAUUAAAGCUUUUUGUGGUUUUGGAUGGACUCGCGGCCUAUCAGCUUGUUGGUGAGGUAAUGGCUUACCAAGGCGACGACGGGUAGCCGGCCUGAGAGGGUGACCGGCCACACUGGGACUGAGACACGGCCCAGACUCCUACGGGAGGCAGCAGUGGGGAAUAUUGCACAAUGGGCGCAAGCCUGAUGCAGCGACGCCGCGUGAGGACGGGACGGCCUUCGGGUUGUAAACCUCUUUCAGUAGGGAAGAAGCGAAAGUGACGGUACCUGCAGAAGAAGCGCCGGCUAACUACGUGCCAGCAGCCGCGGUAAUACGUAGGGCGCAAGCGUUAUCCGGAAUUAUUGGGCGUAAAGAGCUCGUAGGCGGUUUGUCGCGUCUGCCGUGAAAGUCCGGGGCUCAACUCCGGAUCUGCGGUGGGUACGGGCAGACUAGAGUGAUGUAGGGGAGACUGGAAUUCCUGGUGUAGCGGUGAAAUGCGCAGAUAUCAGGAGGAACACCGAUGGCGAAGGCAGGUCUCUGGGCAUUAACUGACGCUGAGGAGCGAAAGCAUGGGGAGCGAACAGGAUUAGAUACCCUGGUAGUCCAUGCCGUAAACGUUGGGCACUAGGUGUGGGGGACAUUCCACGUUUUCCGCGCCGUAGCUAACGCAUUAAGUGCCCCGCCUGGGGAGUACGGCCGCAAGGCUAAAACUCAAAGGAAUUGACGGGGGCCCGCACAAGCGGCGGAGCAUGCGGAUUAAUUCGAUGCAACGCGAAGAACCUUACCAAACGGAAUAUGAACCGGAAAUACCUGGAGACAGGUGCCCCGCUUGCGGUCGGUUUACAGGUGGUGCAUGGUUGUCGUCAGCUCGUGUCGUGAGAUGUUGGGUUAAGUCCCGCAACGAGCGCAACCCUCGUUCUAUGUUGCCAGCACGUGAUGGUGGGGACUCAUAGGAGACUGCCGGGGUCAACUCGGAGGAAGGUGGGGACGACGUCAAAUCAUCAUGCCCCUUAUGUCUUGGGCCUUCCGCAUGCUACAAUGGCCGGUACAAAGGGUUGCGAUACUGUGAGGUGGAACUAAUCCCCAAAAGCCGGUCUCAGUUCCGAUUGGGGGCUGCAACGGUUA